rnacentral:misc_RNA from 1 species
GUGAAUCAUCAAAUCUUUGAACGCAAAUUGCACUUUCUGGUAUUCCGGGAAGUAUGCCUGUUUGAGGGUCAUUUAAAUAAAAAUCGGUGUUGUUGCUGCUGUUGGUUGUGACGCGUCGGAAUGGAGUUGUCUUACCUGCGGUUAAGUGACUUAAAUUUUUGCAUUAUUUUCUAUCGUAUUUAAAUUGCUUAGGUAUUUUGGAAAUACCGAAUACUUUUUUAUUUUCUAU